rnacentral:rRNA from 1 species
ACACUCCUGCGGGAGGCAGCAGUGGGGAAUUUUGGACAAUGGGCGAAAGCCUGAUCCAGCAAUGCCGCGUGUGUGAAGAAGGCCUUCGGGUUGUAAAGCACUUUUGUCCGGAAAGAAAUCCUUGGCUCUAAUACAGUCGGGGGAUGACGGUACCGGAAGAAUAAGCACCGGCUAACUACGUGCCAGCAGCCGCGGUAAUACGUAGGGUGCGAGCGUUAAUCGGAAUUACUGGGCGUAAAGCGUGCGCAGGCGGUUUGCUAAGACCGAUGUGAAAUCCCCGGGCUCAACUUGGGAACUGCAUUGGUGACUGGCAGGCUAGAGUAUGGCAGAGGGGGGUAGAAUUCCACGUGUAGCAGUGAAAUGCGUAGAGAUGUGGAGGAAUACCGAUGGCGAAGGCAGCCCCCUGGGCCAAUACUGACGCUCAUGCACGAAAGCGUGGGGAGCAAACAGGAUUAGAUACCCCAGUAGUCCC